rnacentral:rRNA from 1 species
UACGUAGGGUGCAAGCGUUAAUCGGAAUUACUGGGCGUAAAGCGUGCGCAGGCGGUUGUGCAAGACCGAUGUGAAAUCCCCGGGCUUAACCUGGGAAUGGCAUUGGUGACUGCACGGCUAGAGUGUGUCAGAGGGGGAUAGAAUUCCACGUGUAGCAGUGAAAUGCGUAGAGAUGUGGAGGAAUACCGAUGGCGAAGGCAGCCCCCCUGGGAUAACACUGACGCUCAUGCACGAAAAGCGUGGGGGAGCAAACAGG